rnacentral:rRNA from 1 species
UACGAAGGGGGCUAGCGUUGUUCGGAAUUACUGGGAGUAAAGCGCACGUAGGCGGAUUUGUAAGUCAGGGGUGAAAUCCCGGGGCUCAACCUCGGAACUGCCUUUGAUACUGCAAGUCUCGAGUCCGAUAGAGGUGAGUGGAAUUCCUAGUGUAGAGGUGAAAUUCGUAGAUAUUAGGAAGAACACCAGUGGCGAAGGCGGCUCACUGGAUCGGUACUGACGCUGAGGUGCGAAAGCGUGGGGAGCAAACAGG